GUGAAUCAUCGAAUUUUUGAACGCAAAUUGCACUCUCCGGUUUUCCGGGGGAGUAUGCCUGUUUGAGGGUCAGCAUAAAAACAACCGACAUAGUUCCUGUUUUAUGGUGACUUUCGUCGGAUCUGGGUUAUAUUAAAUCUCGGUUUAAGCGAAUUAAUAAUUUUUUUUACGAUUCUAAGAAUGUUUCUAAGAUUUUUCUUGUCCGUUUAAGGUAUCGAAUGUCUUAUUAGAAGUGGUCGUCAUAUCGGAUCGUGU
rnacentral:misc_RNA from 1 species